rnacentral:rRNA from 1 species
GACGAACGCUGGCGGCGUGCUUAACACAUGCAAGUCGAACGGAAAGGGGCUGCUUUUGUGGGGUACUGGAGUGGCGAACGGGAGAGUAACACGUGAGUAACCUGCCCAUGACUGUGGGAUAACUUCAGGAAACUGGGGCUAAUACCGGAAAGGAGCUAAUGCUGCAUGGGGGGGGUUGGAAAGUUUCGGCGGUGGGGGAUGGGCACGCGGCUUAUAAGCAGGUGGGUGGGGGAGUGGCUUAGCAAAGCAUUGACGGUAAGCCGGCCGGACAGGGUGACCGGCCACAUUGGGGCUGCGGUAAGGCCCAGACGCCUCCGGGGGGCAGCAGUGGGGAAGAUUGCUCAACGGGCGGAGGCCUGAUGCAGCAACGCUGCGGGCGGGAUGAAGGCCGUCGGGGUGUAGACCGCUUUCGCCUGUGAAGAAGCGUGAGUGACGGUAAUUGGUAAAGAAGCACCGGCUAACUACGUG